rnacentral:rRNA from 1 species
CAUUUACGGAGAGUUUGAUCCUGGCUCAGGACGAACGCUGGCGGCGUGCUUAACACAUGCAAGUCGAACGAUGAAGCCCAGCUUGCUGGGUGGAUUAGUGGCGAACGGGUGAGUAACACGUGAGUAACCUGCCCCUGACUUCGGGAUAACUACGAGAAAUCGUGGCUAAUACCGGAUAUGACACGUGCCUGCAUGGGUGUGUGUGGAAAGAUUUAUCGGUUGGGGAUGGGCUCGCGGCCUAUCAGCUUGUUGGUGGGGUGAUGGCCUACCAAGGCGACGACGGGUAGCCGGCCUGAGA